GAAGGGAACACCGUUAGUAGAGAGAAAGCAAAUAUAAGGAAAGCAAAUUGAACAAAUCAAGCACUUUGCAAAGAAAGGUUAUUCUACCUUGGCAAUUCUAUUAGGGCUAUUUUCUUGGUUUCUAUACGAAAUGGCAAACCAGGUAUUUAUGUUGUUAUUUUUGGUACUCGCAGUAUUUUUUAUAUUUGAGACUGAACUUGAACUA